AAACACUGAGGUUAGUCAAUAAUAGGUUGUAAAAUUUCUAGGUUCAAUUCUAUUCUUCUGAAGAAUACCAAUUUUAUUAAUACCAAUUUUUUAAGCAGACAAUCAAUAUAGCUAGACACAAAAAGUAAACUUUAUCUUUGGGCUUCUCAAAUACCACUUCAGUGUUUUAUUCUUAGCCAGAUUUUGUCCUAUCCCUGGUUCACACCAAGAAGUGGGCAAAGCUUUAUACAACAUUUGGGAUUCCUUCUCCCUCCAUCCUAGGAUUCCAACUCUCUUAUUAGUGACUACAGUUGCCUUAAAUUCUGUCCUCUUGUUUCUUGAACUUGAAAGUCUGCAGAUUACUUAUUGGAAUUUUAGUUGCCUAAUAAACAUUGUCUCACUAUGCUUUCAGACCAACGGCCAUUUAAAAAAGCAAAAUCACCAUUACUGUUUCCUUAUUCCAAAAGUCAAUUUACCUAAAAAUUCUGCCUAUUUUUAUUUACAUUCCAAUGCUUCAUAUCAUUUUAAACUUUCUUCUCCAAAACAUAUUAAUAUCCAUGGCAAGUUUGAGUGUGAUUGGUGCUAUACUCUGCAUACUACAAAAACACACAUAUAUGCACACAUUAUUUAAGAUUGAAAAAAAUCAAAUAGGGAAGAUAUAAGAAUAUCUUAUACACUAGAAGGAAGAAGAAACAAAAUAGACAAUAAGAUCAUUGUAGUGGUGAAUAACAGAUGUGAGGAAAAAGUAAAAUAUACAAAACAUUAAAAAAUAUUAUCAUUUGUUAUAGAUAAGAUAUAGUAAAAUGUUACAGUGAGUUAAUAUUCUAGUGUUAGUAAAUAAAUGCAUGGAUUGACAGGUCAAGAAGCCAUAGAGUGGUUGAAAAUAAAUUUGAUAAAAUCAGAGUGCAAAGAGUUUCAUGUAGCUUUCUGAUUCUUUUUUUUAACAUUUUAUUAUUUUUAAAUUUUAUUUAUUUAUUUAUUUAUUUUUACAUUAUGAAUCUUAAUAUACCUUUAUACCACAAUUUAUCAUAUAAACAAAUGCCAGAUGUCUUCGCUGAUAUAAGGGGGGUAACUCAAAAUGAGGUUGGGAGGAAGAGCAA
rnacentral:lncRNA from 1 species